rnacentral:rRNA from 1 species
GACGAACGCUGGCGGCGUGCUUAACACAUGCAAGUCGAACGGAAAGGCCCUGCUUUUGUGUGGUGCUCGCGUGGCGAACGGGUGAGUAACACGUGAGUAACCUGCCCUUGACUUUGGGAUAACUUCAGGAAACUGGGGCUAAUACAUGCUAGGAGCUCCUGCUGCAUGGUGGGGGUUGGAAAGUUUCGGCGGUUGGGGAUGGACUCGCGGCUUAUCAGCUUGUUGGUGGGGUAGUGGCUUACCAAGGCUUUGACGGGUAGCCGGCCUGAGAGGGUGACCGGCGACAUUGGGACUGAGAGACGGCCCAGACUCCUACGGGAGGCAGCAGUGGGGAGUAUUGCACAAUGGGCGGAAGCCUGAUGCAGCAACGCCGCGUGCGGGAUGACGGCCUUCGGGUUGUAAACCGCUUUCGCCUGUGACGAAGCGUGAGUGACGGUAAUGGGUAAAGAAGCACCGGCUAACUACGUG